UACGAAGGGGGCGAGCGUUGUUCGGAUUUACUGGGCGUAAAGGGCGCGUAGGCGGCGUGUCAAGUCAGGCGUGAAAGCCCCGGGCUCAACCUGGGAACCGCGCUUGAGACUGGCAUGCUCGAGUUCGGGAGAGGAUGGUGGAAUUCCCAGUGUAGAGGUGAAAUUCGUAGAUAUUGGGAAGAACACCGAUGGCGAAGGCAGCCAUCUGGACCGACACUGACGCUGAGGCGCGAAAGCGUGGGGAGCAAACAGG
rnacentral:rRNA from 1 species